CACCACUCAAGCCUGGCUUGGUAUUGGGCGUCGCGGCUCCGCGCGCCUUAAAGUCUUCCGGCUGAGCUGUCCGUCUCUAAGCGUUGUGGCAACUAUUCGCUUCGGAGGUCGGGUGGCCGCGGCCGUUAAAUCUUUCACAA
rnacentral:misc_RNA from 2 species